UGGGGAAUAUUGGACAAUGGGCGAAAGCCUGAUCCAGCAAUGCCGCGUGCAGGAAGAAGGCCUUCGGGUUGUAAACUGCUUUUGUACGGAACGAAAAGGCUCUUUCUAAUAAAGAGGGCCCAUGACGGUACCGUAAGAAUAAGCACCGGCUAACUACGUGCCAGCAGCCGCGGUAAUACGUAGGGUGCGAGCGUUAAUCGGAAUUACUGGGCGUAAAGCGUGCGCAGGCGGUUCUAUAAGACAGAUGUGAAAUCCCCGGGCUCAACCUGGGAAUGGCAUUUGUGACUGUAGAGCUAGAGUACGGUAGAGGGGGAUGGAAUUCCGCGUGUAGCAGUGAAAUGCGUAGAUAUGCGGAGGAACACCGAUGGCGAAGGCAAUCCCCUGGACCUGUACUGACGCUCAUGCACGAAAGCGUGGGGAGCAAACAGGAUUAGAUACCCUCGUAGUCCCUGAGCGGGC
rnacentral:rRNA from 1 species